UACGUAGGCAGCAAGCGUUGUUCGGAGUUACUGGGCGUAAAGGGUGUGUAGGCGGUUAUUUAAGUUUGGUGUGAAAUCUCCCGGCUCAACCGGGAGGGUGCGCCGAAUACUGAAUGACUUGGAGUGCGGGAGAGGAAAGUGGAAUUCCUGGUGUAGCGGUGAAAUGCGUAGAUAUCGAGAGGAACACCAGUGGCGAAGGCGAGUCCCUGGACAAUACCUGACACUGAGGCACGAAAGCCGGGGGAGCAAACAGG
rnacentral:rRNA from 1 species